UACAGAGGUGGCAAGCGUUGUUCGGAAUUACUGGGCGUAAAGGGCGCGUAGGCGGUCCGAUAAGUCCUGUGUGAAAUCCCUCGGCUCAACUGAGGAACUGCACGGGAGACUGUCGGGCUUGAGUUCGGGAGAGGGAAGCGGAAUUCCGGGUGUAGCGGUGAAAUGCGUAGAUAUCCGGAGGAACACCGGUGGCGAAGGCGGCUUCCUGGACCGACACUGACGCUGAGGCGCGAAAGCGUGGGGAGCGAACAGG
rnacentral:rRNA from 1 species